CCAUGGAUAUUGGACGGAAAUGAAGCAAUAGAGAGGACAGGCCCUAUAUGAGCCCAACACAUACUACUCAUUUGUCUCUUUGGUUCAGCUACUAAGCGAGGUUGGAUCGAGAGAUGCGCAGCCCGGUGCAUGCAUGCACGAUCAUAUUCAAGCUGAGCCUGCUGAGGAAUGACAAGUUCCAAGGAGGGAUAUCAAAAUGCAAUCCGCUCCUUCCUACUUCAUUUCUCUUUCUUGAAUCAUGGUUGUAUCAGAAUAUUAUGGCUCACACACUUACUCAGGUUCAGUAGAACUUAAUCACUGAGUGUUUUAACUUUUUUGCUAAUCAUACACAGAUCUCCAUUCAUCCGAUGUAAGAACUGUAGAUGCCCAUCCUCUGGUUUGCAGCACAGCUCCACCUCACUAUAUUAGCUUGCAGUAGAAUAUUUGUAUUGUUCUUCAGCUCAUGACUAAAUAAGGGCGCUCCUGUGCUACCUCUCUGUU